rnacentral:lncRNA from 1 species
AAGCUUUAGAGCAGGGAAAAAAAGAAGGAAAGUACACUUGGAAGAGGGCCAAGCAGGCGAGUUGAAGGACAAGUGCACGCUUUGACCUUUUGACUUAGGGUUUUCUAUGUAAGUAUACUUCCGGGGUCUUGCCUCCCUUCUGCCCUGAUUCUUCCCUUGUGGGUGUGCUGUCCGCAUGCGCAGUGGCCUGCUAGCCCUUGGAAAGGAAGCAUACGCAGUGUUUACUGGAGUUGUACGCAUGCUCACUCCAGGCGUUCUUCCCUUACCUGCCGAAUGUCCCUAGGAGGUCAUAUACCAGUUAAACUGCCCCAUUUUGCCUCUUAGUGUACAUUGUGAGCCCACUCAACCAGUUCCUGAGAUACUACUGGGAAGCUGCUGAUCACCAGUUUCAGGUUUUUUCCAUCUGUUGGGAAACUGCCUAUCCCUUGUGCUCGCUGCAACCAAUUAUUAUUUUAGGGAGACAGUUAACCGCCUGACCAUCACCCGAUGAUCGCCUGAUGUUCAUGCAUCCAUGACUACAUAAACUUUUUGGCCGUUUGACCAAAUGGGGACAUCUGGCAUACUGCUAUCAACCAAUAUGUAGUUGAAAAUUAAGCUCAGGGUCUGAGUUCUGGGAUGUUCACCAGUACCAAGGAGUCAGAAUGGAGGCCCUGUGUUAGAUGCUGCACAAAGAUGAAUAAGUGUGAACAGCUGUCAACUAUUCCAAAGUUGUAGCUGCUACAGCUGCUAUAAAAGGCAGCGAGUCUGAGGCUGCCCCAGGAAUCAGGAGGUGUUGUAUAAGAGGAGAACUUAGCUCUGAAUGGACUAGUAUACCUGAUCACCAGCAGCAGUUAAAAGAAGUGACUUUCACUCUCCGGCAUGAUUCUGAGGCCUCCCC